rnacentral:lncRNA from 1 species
UUUUUUUAGCAAUCUUUACAUCCAACAUGGGGCUUGAACUCACUAAGAGUCUCAUGCUCUUCCCACUAAGCCAGUCAGGUGCCCCUACAUUAAACUCUUAUUAACAUAUCUUACAGUUGAGAUCAUUGAGGCUCAAACAGCUUAAAUAUAUUGUCUAAGGUCAAAUGCCAUGAUGUGCAUAUCUGUAGGGUGAGCCCAGGCAAUUUGACUCCAGAACCAAAGUUUUAGUCACUAUAUCAUUGGUCUAUUACAUUAGAAUCAUCAGGGAGCAUUCCAAAAAUAUUCAUGCUGGGUCCCACCAGACAGUCUAAUAAUUUAAUUGGUCUGGGUUGGGGCCCAGACAGGAUACCUUUCAAAAGCAUCUAGGUGACUCUACCACAGGCAGGUUGAAAACCUCAACAUAACAUAGUCUCCAUGUCUCCAUGCUUACACUAGGGUACACCACCCAAGACCAGCUGCUAGUAAGUAGUGGAGCUGGGUUCUGAAUUCAAAUCUGUAUGGACUCAGAGUUUAGUUCAAUCAUCAUCAUCACCUUGACCAGUACUUCUACCAUUUCCACUCCAACACCACUUUAUAUUUGAAGAUUUACAAUUUACACAGCAUAAUCAAAGACAGAAAAAUAUUUCUCCAGUCAGCAUAUCUAAUAAAAGAUGUUGCUUUCAAAUAUUUUUAUGACUUCUUAAAUAAUCUGAAGUUGUCAUCAUCAUCAUCUUUUUCUUCUUCUUUUAAAGGUUUGGCUUGUAGAAAGUAUUCCAACUAUAAUGGCAAAGCACUCAGUUUUCCUAUGAGCUUAUAAAUUGAAGUGGUUCUCUGGGAUAAACAAAAAAUCUUUUCAUCUAAAAAUUUAAUUGAGACCAAUUCAGUGCCCUGGGAGUUAGUUCCAAUGUUUGGCAAAGGUUUCUGGCACUGAGCACUGGGCCUUGGCCUCAAGCCUGCACUGGGUCACCUUACAGCUGCACCUCAGGGCUAUUUGCCAAGAAGCUGGUCUCAUGGCAGCACUACCCUAUGGCUUACCAGAACACUGAGCCUCGAUACCCAAUCCGGCUGAAAGCAAUUCACAUGACUACAACUCUGUUUAGCAAACAACCUACAGGAGUCAUCUCGUGGAACAUUGUAGCUCCCUCUGACAUUUCUGGAAGAAAAGAGGACUAGUUUUCAGUAGUUUGUCUAGGAUCAGGGAAGGGCGAUCUCAAAGUUUAAUAUAUAACCAGAAAGUUACAGAUUGAUGUCACCAUCGCAUAAAAGGGAAAACAUCUGUCACUUCCAUUUGUAGCCAGGUUUCUAGCAGCUUUUUCAAAAAGGAAGAAGAUGAGGAACCAGUUAUCCUGGUUCAGAGGCAAGAGAGAUCGGGAUUUGAAAACUGGUCUUCCCACUAACCAAGUGAAUUUAGGCAGAGAGCAUAAUCUCAUUAGGCCUCAGUUUCUUCAUCUAUAUAUUAAGGUUUGGGCUCAUUAAAUAAAUUCUAAGUAUCAGUCCUAAAAUUAUAUUUUAUGUAUGAAUAUAUACUUAUAGUUUUUCUAAUUUGCUACAACCACUUGAAACAUCCCCUUACUAGAGAAAAUGUGAAUUUCUAAAAACCUGAGGUUGACAUUAAGGAUGGAACUUAAGAACCAGAAAUUGUAUCUUUUUAGCUGUACGAGGCUAUUUAGAUAAUGUACUCCAACUUGCUCAUUUUAUCUUCUCCCUCUCUGUCUUCUCUUUCCUUUUUUCUUUUUAAAAUUCAAGAAAUCUUUUUUCUCUUUUUUAAAGAUUUUAUUUAUUUGUUCAUGAGAGACACACAGAGAAAGGCAGAGACAUAGGCAGAGGGAGAAGCAAGAUAUCUGCAGAGAGCCCAAUGUGGGACUCAAUCCCAGGACCGGGGAUCAUGACCUGAGCCAAAGGCAGAUGCUCAACCACUGAGCCACCCAGGCAUCCCCUCAAGAAAUCUUUUCUAAGUUCUGCUGUGUACCAGGCACUGAACCAAGUGCUGGAAACCAAGACUGAGUCCUUGGUCUUAAAGAAUUUCCAGUACAGUAGGCACAAGUAAGCAUGUUAUUAACACACAAUGAAGAAAGUGCUACAGCAGAGGUGAGGAGAGGGUACAAUGACAGAGGCUUAGUCUCAGGGUGGGGAAGGGGUGGGAGUCAGGCCAGGGUUCCUGGAGAAGUGACAUCUAAGCUAAGACCAGGAGAAGAGCCACUUUUCUAGGCAGAAAAGCAGCAUAGGUAUUUAAAUAUUACAGGGGGAACUCUGAAAUAGUGGGGAGGAUUGCCCAAGGGCAUGCAUCUGGCCAGUGGCAGUGCUGGAGCUCAAGGCCCCAACCUCCAAAUUAUAGCCUUGGUUGAUUGUCAAUGACAUGAAUUAAUAGCUUUUGUGGGGUUUUUUGGCUAGGUGAAACAUUAGAGUGCAUGCCUUUGCUGCCACCAACUGAGUUAAGAUUCAGGGCUCUUUCUGGGCUCUCUAGGCUUAGGAUCUCCCCUGUCUGGCUCCAGUGUCUUCAUCAGUAACUCAUCAACACAACCACAUCACAGGCCCAUCAACUGAGAAACACCACCACCAAUCUGCUCUAGGGAUGAGGCUCCUCCAGCUGCGGAAUAGUGUAGAUGGAUACAGCUCCUGCUGUGACUGGUUCAGGAGACAAGUCUUGGUUAGUAACAGCUCAGUCCUAUGAGGACUGUCUUCCAAUAUUUAAAGGGUUGUAGGAGGGAUUAGAUCUAUGCCAUGUGGGGUGAAAGGGAAGAAUAAGAAUCAAAUGAAUGUAUAGGUACAGGUAAGUAUAUUUCCCUAAAUGAAAAGAACUUGAGGCUGGAUGCACUUUUAAGUAAUGGAUGUCCCUCCACCUAAAGUAUUUAAAACAAGGCAGAAUGACCAUUUCACUGGGAUGUUACAAAGGGGACAUAGGAUUUGAUCUAUAGAGGUCUAGUCAAAUCCUUCCAGCUUGGGGCUUCUGCAUUUUCACAGUUGGCCCAGGCCAACUGAGGUCUAAUUGUUCUAGUUUCUUAUCUAUUCCUCACAAAGUAUUUACUCUUAGUUCUAGUUAAUUAACAUUUGCGAGCACAUUAUUUUUUACAUUUCCGAGCAAAGAAAAACUUAUCGUGUAGUAUGAUAUUUAAGAAGGCAGUUUAGUGGGGUUCCCCUCCCCCUCAUAAAGCAUUAAUAUAUAUAUACUGCUAGGUAGUGAAACUGCUAUAUUUAUGUGAGGAAAUGGGCAGUUUGGCCCGCGUGUGUACCACACGCACCUAUCCAGUCUGGUGCACGGGUACUGUUUUAUUUUAGGUGUAUUCUAUCGCUGUCCAUACAUGCUGUUCACGCUAUGGUCCAUCGUGUGUUCCAUACCCAAAGGAAACUUUAUCAAGUCUUCCUUUCCUUUCUCCCACCUUUGUUUUUCUUUGUGGAAACUGUGCCACUGCUUCAUUAGUCUAAAGAUAUGGAGAGAGAAGGGAGAGUGUAGUCAGUGAAAACUGAAGAUAUUACUGGCAGUUCUGACAGGUGCAAUUUAGAUUUUGUUAACCCCGAAUUACUUUCAGAGAGCAGUGGUAAAAGAUGAUUUAUAUUGUUUUGUGAGGCAGACUCCUCUGUUAGUAACAUAGUAAAAUAAAACAUAUAAUUUGUUUUUACCUGCUUUCUAUGCUUGGUGCAUGUAAUGUGUUAUAAAUCAACUAUAUUAAAAAUAUUUUGUUUUAAAUUAGUAUUUGGAUAAUAUAUUACCUGAGGUCUAAAAUAUGUAUGUUCUAAAACAACAUAAUAGCUUUUUCAAAAAAAAGAGAAAAAGAAUUGCAAGCCCAUUUUCUGAGCGUUCAAAAUCAGACAACAUUAAAAGGACCAGCCAAAAUGAGCUGGCUCUUCCCUAUGAGCCAUGGAACAUAAAUUACUUUAACAUGUUAUGCAAAGGAACUUGUCCUGCCCUAGCUCCUAUAGUCUACCUUAGAGAGAAGCUUAGGCUCAACUACACAUUGAAAAAAUAGAAGUUCCAUAGCUGCUGCAGGUGAUCCUGCACCUGGAGCAAUGCGGGCCAUGCCUCAGACGGUCCCUAAGCUGCUACAGGUGAUCAUGCACCUGGAGCAAUGCGGGCCAUGCCUCAGACGGUCCCUAAGCACUCUGUAGAGUUACAGGGACUGGCCUCUGCUAUAGCUGUUUACUGUGCAUGGGAUGAAUAAAUCAUUUUCCUCAAGGUAAUCCUGCGGAGGGCUUCCCCUCAAAGAGUCACAAUCAUCCGGGCUCUGCAUGCAACAUAAAAUUAUGGCUUUAUAGUACACUGCUAUGGUAGCGUGUUGAGAAGAGCUCCACCAGGUACGCCUGGGGGGCUCAGGGGUUGGGCGUCUGCCUUUGGCCCAGGGUGUGAUCCCAGAGACCUGGGAUCGAGUCCCACAUUGGGCUCCCUGCAGGGAGCCUGCUUCUCCCUCUGCCUGUGUCUCCACCUCUCUCUCUCUGUGUGUCUCUCAUGAAUAAAUAAAUACAAUCUUAAAAAAAAAAAAAAAAAAAAA